rnacentral:misc_RNA from 1 species
GAUGAAGAACGUAGCGAAAUGCGAUACUUGGUGUGAAUUGCAGAAUCCCGUGAACCAUCGGGUCUUUGAACGCAAGUUGCGCCUCAAGCCAUUAGGUUGAGGGCACGUCUGCCUGGGCGUCACAUAUCGUUGCCUGAUGCCAGUUUCCUCGUGAUGGGUGACUGUGCAGGGCGAAUGAUGGCUUCCCGUGAGCAUUGUUGCCUCAUGGUUGGUUGAAAAUUGAGUCCUUGGUAGGGAGCGCCGUGAUAGAUGGUGGUUGAGUGACGAACGAGACCCAAUCAUGUGAGACCCCUACCGAAUUUGGCCUUCAUGACCCACAUGCGUCUUUGGAACGCUCAUGACGAGACCUCAGGUCAGGCGGGGCUACCCGCUGAGUUUAAGCAUAUCAAUAAGCGGAGGA